GCAGAUGCCUUUGAUGUGGCCGUGCCGCAAAGGCAUGGAGGAAAGUCCGGACUGCGCAUGACAGGAUAGCGGCUAAUGACCGCCGGGGGCGACCCCAGGAUUAGAGCAACAGAGACGAGUCGAUUCAAUUCGGGUGAAACGGGCAAUCUCUAUCCGCAGCAACCCCAAGUAGGUUCCCACAAAGCGGGUCAUGACGCGGGAACGGGUAGGGGGCUUGACGUCCGUGGAGACACGGAACGCAGAUUAAUCACAUCACCAGACAGAAUCCGGCUUACAGGGCAUCUGCAAAC
rnacentral:RNase_P_RNA from 1 species